GAUCAUGUGUCGCGGACUUCCGCGAUGUACGCAUUGUUGCACAUGGCAACACAUGUAACAUCUUGUAUAUUGUCUAUGGUAAGCAAACCAUACUUUUCCUUCCUGUUUCUCACACAUGAAGUUUCAAGUUUGUUAACUUAUUUAUUAACGUGUGCCCGAAGCCAGCCUCGUACAGCCAGAGCAUCAUCUCUCUAAUUAUCUGAAAGCUAAGUAUAAUGAGUAUAUAAAGGAGGACUUGUUCGUCCCACGCAUAUAUUUCCUACAUUUAUUUAUUGUGAAAUCUAUGUAUGACUAGAUUCAAUGUACUGACCGCAAUGUGUUGAGUUGACUUAUAAAGACGUGACAUGACGUGUGAUGAUGUUGCAAGAGAACGUAAUGAUUACAUGCUCUUUGGUUACGAGCAGAGGUGUGCUUGUAUGUCAUGGUCAGGUCGGAGAUGCGUCUGCCGACCUGAGCCCAACCCUCGUCUGGCAUGCCAUAGAAUUGAUAGUGACCUGUAAGGGGCUCGUACACCCUUCGGAUAGGUGCACUCUUGGCCAUAGCAAGGGACUGGUGUUUCCCUCGUCUGGCAUGCCAUAGAAUUGAUAGUGACCUGCAAGGGGCUCGUACACCCUUCGGAUAGGUGCACUCUUGGCCAUAGCAAGGGACUGGUGUUUCCCUCGUCUGGCAUGCCAUAGAAUUGAUAGUGACCUGUAAGGGGCUCGUACACCCUUCGGAUAGGUGCACUCUUGGCCAUAGCAAGGGACUGGUGUUUCCCUCGUCUGGCAUGCCAUAGAAUUGAUAGUGACCUGUAAGGGGCUCGUACACCCUUCGGAUAGGUGCACUCUUGGCCAUAGCAAGGAACUGGUGUUUCCCUCAUUUGGCAUGCUAUGGAAUUGAUCUAUGGUUUGUGACUGGUUGCGACCAGGUCACCGCACUCCUUAUCCAGUGCAAAGGUUGACUGAUGAGACUUACCAAGACAUAGACAGUUGUGACUAUUACACAGACAUGCAUACCUAUAUAUGUACUUUGAGUCCUGUGGGACAAUGUUGAACUUUACUAUGAAUACUGAUUUCUUGUUGUCUGUUCCUACAUACAUAUAUACAUGUUACAAUGUUUAUGUAUCUAUCUUGAGAGAUAGAUGUGUUAUAUUAUGAUACAGGUUAAGGAUACUUAGUGACCCAUGGUCAUAAAUCUAUUUUCUACACAGGUGGUGGUAUAAGAUCAAGUUAGAGCUGGCCUCUGCGCUUGGAGCUCAUGAACCAGGGAGACAUACUCCAAUUACAUCAUUUGAAUAAGGUAUGAACCGCACUGUCCAUAGAAUAACCGACCUCUCUUUCCUAAUAAUAUAAGCGAAGCAGAUCUAAGUUUAUUAAGAUAAUAAACAAGUGUACAUGACAAGUUGAUAGUAAACUUAUAUUUCAUUUAAUAAGGUCUUAGAAUCAUUAGGUAACUCGAACUCAGGCAAUCAGUCUAUUUAUCUUAGUAUUUUGUAUCAACGUCGAUACAAAAAUUGGUGGAAGAGUGUCUUGGAUUUAAUUCAGACCCACAUAAAUUCAUGAAAUUAUCUAAUAAAUUAUUUACCAAAUUUAUACUAAAAUACACAAAGAGAUGGUAAAAAUAAAAUGGUCAAAACAUAUUAAGACAUGAUUUAAGUACACAUAAUCUAUAAUGACUGCAUGAAUAUUCAAUAAUCAUGAUUAUUUGCAGUAUUUGUGACAAUAAAAUGCAAUUCUUAAGAGGUCAAAGGUCGCCCUGUGGAUAGUGUUGUUCAUACUAAUAACACAUAGAGCUACCACCUUUAAUAAUCAUACACCCAAAUUGUUUGUGUAUUGCUGAACGAUUUUGAACUUAAGUUGUACCGAAUUUAUAUCGCCAAGGUCAUAAGUACGAUGUGAUCGACUUAAAUAUCAAUAUUAAUCUUAAGUUGCGUAUUUUAUGACUUCAAAUUGAACACAACUUUGAUAUUUCAAAUCGUCGCGCCAUUUGACGCACGCCGCGCAUGCGCGACGCGACGCGAUCUACUUCAUUCAUUCAUUCGUUCACUUCACAAGAUGGAGGAAAUUAAUUUACCAGUGGAAGUUUUACGUGAAUUGUGUUUUGUGCGAUGCUGAAAGUGUUGAAAUAAAGUGUUAUAUUUUAUUAAGAAACAAAGGAAUUUCAAGAAAUACAGCGUAUGUGCUGACGGGUUCGGAUUGUCACAUUUCAACGAGCCGAGUGUGAAACCAAGCGUCUCUACGCGAAAAUACUUCUCUGUAUGAGGAGAUUAUAAACAUUCUUACGAAAAAAUCACAAGAAUAAGAGAGAAUAUUAUGGAAGCUAUUCUGCUGAAUCGCCUCUCUACAUUUGCCACAAACAUCAAAGAACAUCAAGUCAAAGCAUCAGAGCUAUGUGCGUGUCGUCCAUGGGGAAAGGAUGAGUCCGAACGAGCAUCUGUCGUCGCAUCCAGACUUCAAUCUAUACUUGGAAGAUUUCAAAGCGAUCUCUAUCAGUACUUCAAUCUGUCUAAAGACCCUAACGCCGAUGAGAUUUCAAAUCUAACCGCAGUACAGCUAGAAGGUGAUGACACUUUAGCCGAACUUAAGGCAAGAAUUCAAGUUGAUAAGGAUACAAGACAAGUUACGUCCGAUCCUACAAAGAAUAGAAGCAAGCUACCAGAGCUGGACCUAAUAUCUUUUCAUGGUGAGGUUCUAGAAUGGACACAAUUUUGGGACCAGUUUAGCUCCAACAUUGAUCAAAGAAACCUACGUGAUGUGGAUAAGUUGCUAUAUCUCAAAGCAUCAUUAAAGGGUGAAGCCAAAACUAUAAUCGAUGGUUUAGAAACUACAAACGAUAAUUAUAAAAUUGCCAUAGAUACUCUAAAGGAAAGAUACGGCAACAGAGUGCAGAUUAUUGAUGCUCACUAUUCUUCCUUAUACAAGAUUAAGAAAGCAGCAAGGCCGCAAGAUUGCAGAAAGACAUUGGAUGAACUCGAGAGACAUCUAAGAGUCUUACAGUCCCUAGGAGAGGACACUAAUAAAAAUCAUUUAAGAUUUCUUUUCAUGGAAAAGUUUCCUGAAGACGUCGUUUAUGAAAUGAAAUUAAAAUUAAAAACAGAAUCCAUCGAAGAAAUAAGAAAACAAUUAAACGCUAUAAUAUCAGCAAAGGAAGAUGCCAAGAGGAUUGGUGUUGAGACUAAAAGUACAGAAGCCACCUUUACCACUGAAACUUUACACAUAAGGGAUAAACAUCCGAAGAAACCUACCUGUGACACGAGAAUUAAACAUAGAAUUAUAAAAAUGAGAGAAAAACCAAAUAAAUAUAGACAAAAUACAUCAACCUUUUCAAACACAUUCACCUCUAAGAAGAGAACAUAUGAAGCCAAUAGUACAUCGAAUAAUGCGCAAGCAUUCGGAAAACGAAGUAAAUUUGAAUGUAUGUUUUGUCAAGGAGAUCAUUACAAUGACGCUUGCACGAAAUUUAAGACCUUAGCCGAGAGGAAAAGGAAAUUACUUAACCGUUGCUACAUCUGUUUGAAAAUCGGUCAUAGACAAACUAUCUGUAAAACGACACACAUCUGCCGUCAUUGUGGUGCAAAGAAUAAACAUAACAGAGCUUUGUGCCCUAUGAAACUGUCACAAAUAACAAAGGCCACGUCUACCAAAACCUUUCACAUAGAUGGAGAUGGAUCAACCGUUCUUCAAACAGCUGUUGUAAACGUCAUAGGUCAUGAAGGUUUAAUAAAAAGAUGUAGGGUGUUGCUAGACACAGGAUCUCAGAGAAGUUACAUCACACGGACGGAAGCCAAAGAAUUAAACUUGAACGUCAUAGAAAAUAACCACUUAUUUGUCUUUACAUUCGGAUCCUGGAAACCACGAGAAGUGGAUAGUCCUCUUGUCAAACUUACCAUACAAACCCUAAAUGAUAAGCUAAAAACAGUAUUUGCAAACGUUGUACCUUCUAUCACUCAAGGUAUUCAUUAUCCAAGACGAGAAUUAACGAAGUGGAUUAACAGCUCAGAAUAUGUGUUAGCCGACGAUGGCUCACUCUCAGAUAGAAUUGAUAUUCUUAUUGGCAAUGAUUACUACCUCAGCUUUAUGUCAACCGGGAAGGUACAAAUCCAAGAAAAUCUAUACCUCGUAGAAUCUGAAUUAGGAUGGAUCCUCUCUGGAAAACCACACAGCUCCCAUAAUAAAAAUGAUGAUCUCUCCGUUCUCACCUAUUCUCAAGCAUCGUGGGAAAAUAAACUUAAUGAGCCUGAUCCACCCUUAGAUACAGGAAAUGUCAGAUCCUUGUGGGAAUUAGAGUCAAUCGGUAUUACAGAUUCUCCGAAGGUCAACCGGGAUGAGGAAGCAAUCAAACACUUCAAUGAGAAUACGAUAUUUAAGAAUAACAGAUACUUUGUCAGCUGGCCUUGGAAUGAAUAUCCCCCGGAUCUACAGUCUAACAUAGGACUUGCACAUGGCCGACUCGUUAGUCUACUCAAACGAAUAGAUACAGAGACCUUGCGUAUCUACGAUCAGACCUUGCGAGAACAGUUUGAAACUGGCAUCAUAGAAAUUGCGGUAGACAAAGGGAAUACUGACCAUCCGAUACAUUACCUUAGUCAUCAUGGAGUGUCGGCGCCGGGGAAAAAGCUUAGAAUUGUGUACGAUGCAUCAGCAAAGACAAAGGACAGCAAAAGCCUUAACGAAUGUAUGUACUGCGGCCCGAUGAUGUUAGAAGAUCUAACUGGUUUGCUGAUAAAGUUCAGAUGUCACAAAAUUGGAAUAACUGCUGAUGUAGAAAAGGCUUUCCUACAGAUAGGCUUACACGACAAAGACAGAGACGUCACAAGAUUCCUGUGGCUAAAGGAUGUGUCUAAACCAGCUGUAGAAGAGAAUCUUAUACACUACAGAUUUACACGCGUUCCCUUCGGAAUUAUAUCCAGUCCAUUUUUGCUGAACGCUACCAUCAAAUACCAUUUAUCUAAAACCAAUGAUGAACGUUUAAAGAGUCUAGCUAACGACAUAUAUGUGGAUAAUGUCUUGACAGGAUCGAACAGCGUCAAAGAAGCAAUGAGUCUGUAUAAAGACAGUAAAACGGUAUUCCAACAAAUAUCUAUGAACCUAAGAGAAUGGAGUUCCAACUCUAAAGAGCUCAUGCAGAACAUAACAGAUGCUAAUACAGAUAAAACUGUAAAAACUCUUGGUUUAAAUUGGGACCUAGAAAAUGACACGAUUUGCUUAAGGAUAAAGAACACCACGAAUGCUUAUACGAAGAGAGGUAUUCUGAAGACCAUCGCUGCCAUAUACGACCCAUGUGGUUUUGCUGCACCAAUAAUACUACCAGCUAAAUUAUUACUUCAAAAAUUAUGGAAGACAAAAUCGCAUUGGGACGCUCCAUUAUCUGAAGAAAUGGCAGCCGAAUGGAAAACUAUCUUAGAAGAUCUUAAGCAAACUCACAACAUAUGCCUGCCUAGGAACAUAACGAAUAACCAAGAAGGCCAACUUCACUGUUUCACAGAUUCGUCGAUGUCAGCGUAUGCAGCCGUAGUUUAUCUACUGCAAGGAGACAAAGUGAAUUUCAUUAUUGGCAAAUCAAGAUUAAUACCCUUGAAAGAUCAAGACAAUUUAAAGAUUCCUAAAUUGGAGCUAUUAGGAGCUCUAAUAGGCAGCAGACUAAUCCAAUAUGUCAUGAAACAUCUCCAGGUGAACAUAUCACAACAAGUACUAUGGACAGAUAGUCAAAUAGUAAUAGAUUGGUAUCAAUCUAAAAAGCUGCUGCCACCAUUCAUCUCAAGAAGGAUAGAGGAAAUCAAGAAAAACAAGAACUUGGCUGUAAGAUAUGUCCCGUCUGAACAUAACCCAGCCGAUGUAGCAACUAGACCAACUAAUUCGACAGAAGAUUUUCAACGAUGGCUCAGUGGCCCGAAAUUUCUAAAGGAAGAUUCUCAUAACUGGCCAUACCGACCCGCAAGAGACGUUACUCUUCUGGCGGGGGAGGGUCUGUCGAAUAACAUCACACAGAAAGCUGAAUUGAACUCAGGUACAAAAGUUUAUUAACAAGUGUCCGCAAUGCGUGAAACAUGGCGGAGGACCUUACACAUUACCAGAAACUCCAGCAUUACCACCUGAAAGAGUUAAGUAUGAAACAGCAUAUACUUACGUAGGAGUGGACUACUUCGGACCGAUGUAUGUUAAAGCAGAAGGUAAACAAAAACGUUGGAUUUGCUUGUUUACCUGCCUUGUAAUUCGCGCUAUACAUUUAGAAAUAGUAAAGGAUAUGUCUGCGGAAGAAUGUUUACUGGCGUUCAGAAGAUUUAUGGCCACCAGAGGUGUUCCUACUUUGAUUGUGACUGACAAUGCUCUUCAAUUUAAAUUGUUAUCCGAGAUAAUCACAACCGGAGGUCCAACAGAUCAAAGGAUACAAUGGAAGUUCAUUCCUCAAUUAGCUCCAUGGCAUGGCGGUGUAUACGAAAGACUAGUGGCAGUAGUCAAACACUGUCUGAAACGAACCUUACAAAAACAUCUGCUUGACGAUAACCAAUUACUAACCAUCAUGAAAGAAGUGGAAAGUGUUGUGAACACAAGACCCUUGACUUAUGUAGGUACUGGUUUGGAACAUGUAUUGAAACCAGCCGAUUUCUUAACACCAGGAAGAUGUCUAGGACUCCAGAUGUCAGUGAGUAAGGCACCAAUUACAGCCACUGCAACUAAACAACAACUCAUAGAAGGAUGGAGACGGGGUGAGACUAUCAUGAAAGAGUACAGAGACAUGUUUAUGAAUCAGUACUUGUUGAGUUUAAGGGAACAUUACAAACAUUCAACUAAACAACCCAGAGUCAGAUCUCAUGAUGUACCAUGCGUUGGUGAUAUUGUACAAAUAAAAGGUGAUACAAAGAACAGAGAAAACUGGAAGGUAGGAAGGAUCUCCGAAUUAAUUAAAGGUACUGAUGGAUUAUACAGAGUCGCUAAAGUAAAGGUUGAUAACAAUAUAUUUACAAGGUCUAUAUCACACUUGUACCCUUUAGAGAUUGAAGACAUCCCAUCGCAAACCGAUUUAUCUGGUCAUCAAGCGGAAGUCGAAUCUGCACCAAAGGCAAUGAGAAUGGAAGUUGAGGAAGAUUCGGACUUACCAAUGACACAAAGGGAAGAUUACCCCAACAUGCAACCAGAUGGAAGCACGGAUGGGACUGAUAGCAUGGACACGGACACGACACAUAGCAUAGAUAGGAUAAAUGAGAACACUGACGUUACUAAUGAGAACGUAGAUACAGCAGAAGAAGAAGACAUAGAUUUGAGACAUGGCAAUGUAGAAACAACAAAUGAUCUUGUUGACAAGAAUAAUGAAUCAGCUUCGAAUCAAUCUGACAAUGAAAGGCAAAGAAGGAAUGCGGCAGUCCAAGCUAUGGAGAGAAUCCGAGAAUGGACUCGCCAUUUAAUGACUACUCUAACUACUUCGCAAUAGCUCGCCUCGGCGGGUGUGUCGCGGACUUCCGCGAUGUACGCAUUGUUGCACAUGGCAACACAUGUAACAUCUUGUAUAUUGUCUAUGGUGGUGGUAUAAGAUCAAGUUAGAGCUGGCCUCUGCGCUUGGAGCUCAUGAACCAGGGAGACAUACUCCAAUUACAUCAUUUGAAUAAGGUAUGAACCGCACUGUCCAUAGAAUAACCGACCUCUCUUUCCUAAUAAUAUAAGCGAAGCAGAUCUAAGUUUAUUAAGAUAAUAAACAAGUGUACAUGACAAGUUGAUAGUAAACUUAUAUUUCAUUUAAUAAGGUCUUAGAAUCAUUAGGUAACUCGAACUCAGGCAAUCAGUCUAUUUAUCUUAGUAUUUUGUAUCAACGUCGAUACAUCAUGGCUUGCAGUGUACGUAACAGUUCUAAGUGCCUUUAAUUUACUUUUAUUUAAAAAGUGCAAUAUUAUUAGUCAACGUUCUCUAGUGCAGUAAAAGUGAUGGAUUUCAAUAAUUCAGGUAAUAGUCUAUUAAUUUGCUGUAAAAAAUAUAUAUUCCUCACAA